CCUACGGGUGGCUGCAGUAGGGAAUAUUGGGCAAUGGGCGCAAGCCUGACCCAGCCAUGCCGCGUGGGGGAAGAAGGCCCAUCGGGUUGUAAACCUCUUUUAUCCGGGGAUAACACGGUAUUCUAUACCGUUUGAAGGUACCGGAGGAAUAAGCACCGGCUAACUACGUGCCAGCAGCCGCGGUAAUACGUAGGGUGCAAGCGUUGUCCGGAUUUACUGGGUUUAAAGGGUGCGCAGGCGGGGCUGUAAGCCGGUGAUGAAAUGUCAGGGCUCAA
rnacentral:rRNA from 1 species